CUUGCGGGGUUGCCUUACACAUGCAAGUCGAACGGUCACUUCGGUGAUAGUGGCGGACGGGUGAGUAACGCGUGAGAAUCUAGCUCUAGGUCGGGGACAACCACUGGAAACGGUGGCUAAUACCGGAUGAGCCGAAAGGUAAAAGAUUAAUUGCCUAGAGAUGAGCUCGCGUCUGAUUAGCUAGUAGGUGUGGUAAGAGCGCACCUAGGCGACGAUCAGUAGCUGGUCUGAGAGGAUGAUCAGCCACACUGGGACUGAGACACGGCCCAGACUCCUACGGGAGGCAGCAGUGGGGAAUUUUCCGCAAUGGGCGAAAGCCUGACGGAGCAAUACCGCGUGAGGGAGGAAGGCUCUUGGGUUGUAAACCUCUUUUCUCAGGGAAUAAGAACUGAAGGUACCUGAGGAAUAAGCAUCGGCUAACUCCGUGCCAGCAGCCGCGGUAAUACGGAGGAUGCAAGCGUUAUCCGGAAUGAUUGGGCGUAAAGGGUCCGCAGGUGGCCUUGUAAGUCUGCUGUUAAAGAGUGAGGCUUAACCUCAUAAAAGCAGUGGAAACUACAAAGCUAGAGUGCGUUCGGGGUAGCAGGAAUUCCUGGUGUACGGGAAAGGGGGCUAAAAAAAAAAAAUAAUUUAAAUACUAAGGGGAGUGA
rnacentral:rRNA from 1 species